GGGUAGCUCAGUUGGUAGAGCAGCGGACUGAAAAUCCGCGUGUCGGUGGUUCGAAUCCGCCCCC
rnacentral:tRNA from 1 species